rnacentral:lncRNA from 1 species
GUUUAUUUUCUCUUUGGGAUUGUUUCAUAUUUUAAUUGCGGUGACUAUGCUAUACGGUGACCUAUAGCUUUUAAUGUUUGUGCCAAUUGAUCUCUUUUGAUGAGUUGUCUCAUUCGCAACCAUACCACAUCUCCUUUUUAUACAUAAUUUACAAAUCAAAUGGUUGAUGGUGGGUAUCCGCUUACUUAUUUAUGUGCAUCUGUACACUCUAAAUUACUUUCAUAACACAGACAAGGAAAUAGUUUAAGUCCUUCAAUUUUCAAUUUGUAACAGAGAAUUAGUUUUUAUAAAUGAUUAACAAAAAAGUCAGUAAAAAAUGUUAAACAACUCAAACGCGAAAGCUAACGGCCUUAUUUAUGUACAACCAGGGAUGGGUAAUCGUAAUCUGUAAUCGUAAUCGAUUGUUAUUGAUUACAUUUUUUCAAGUAAUCGACAGUAAUCUGUAAUCGACCAUAUUUUCUAUUACAUGUAAUCGUAAUUUAAUCGAUUACAGCAAAAAUUAUGAUGUAAUCAUCGAUUACUU